rnacentral:rRNA from 1 species
GACGAACGCUGGCGGCAUGCUUAACACAUGCAAGUCGAACGGAAAGGCCUCUUUCGGGGGGUACUCGAGUGGCGAACGGGUGAGUAACACGUGAGUAACCUGCCCUUGACUUUGGGAUAACUUCAGGAAACUGGGGCUAAUACCGGAUAGGAGCUCCUGCUGCAUGGUGGGGGUUGGAAAGUUUCGGCGGUUGGGGAUGGACUCGCGGCUUAUCAGCUUGUUGGUGGGGUAGUGGCCUACCAAGGCUUUGACGGGUAGCCGGCCUGAGAGGGUGACCGGCCACAUUGGGACUGAGAUACGGCCCAGACUCCUACGGGAGGCAGCAGUGGGGAAUAUUGCACAAUGGGUGGAAGCCUGAUGCAGCAACGCCGUGUGCGGGAUGACGGCCUUCGGGUUGUAAACCGCUUUCGCUCAUGACGAAGCUUUGUGUGACGGUAGUGGGUAAAGAAGCACCGGCUAACUACGUG